rnacentral:tRNA from 1 species
GGAGAGGUGGCCGAGUGGUUGAAGGCGCGCCCCUGCUAAGGGUGUAUAUGGAAAUCAUAUCGAGGGUUCGAAUCCCUUCCUCUCCG